GCGAAAUACAAGGAGAGACACAAUUAUAUUCAUUGCAAGUGAAAAUUAAAGCAAUAAAUCUAAAAAAUGAAAUGACCCUCUGUCACUAUCAGUGUGUCACUAUUAGUGUUCACACUGAAUAAGAUGAGCAACUGGAGAGUCAUGAAUAUGAUCAGGUCUCUGAUCAGUCAAUGGCAAAACAAUGGGAGUUCUGGGCUGCUCUUCUCCACCAUGGAAACAAAAGGGGUUUUGGCGUCAGGUACCAGCGGAGGCAGCACAAGCUGUAUGGGGCUCUAUGUAACAUAGGGUGGAGGGGGAGAAAAAUGUGCUGGGAGCCAGAAAGGGCUGCCAGUACCAGCUGUUAUGAUACCAAACAGGAAGACGAGCUGUCCAUGCAUUCCUGCCAACUCUGAGGUCCAGUCUGUGGCCAGAAUGGAACUGAGCACUGCAAUGCAUGUUCUUCAACUGUAAACAUAGAGAUGCUUAUAUAAACUUGAAGGAUGACUGUGAAGGUGAGUAUAGGCAAUUUGAUGCACAGAGUAAGGCUGCUCUUACUUCUGGGGAAGGACUGAAGAAGAGUCAUCACAAAGUGGAAGGUAAAGGGGUGAAGCUGAAUAAGAAUGGGCUUAACAUGCUGGCUUCUUAGCCACUGCUGUAGCUGACAACAAAAGAAGAUAAGGAAAUCCCAAGAGAACUAGAGGGGGAGAAACAGUCUAGAGCCUCCAAGCUAAUGGAA
rnacentral:lncRNA from 1 species